UUAGGGGUACUCUCAUUUUCUUACUCAUAUUGAAAUACUGCCCCUCAAUGAGGCCAAACUUAGAUUCACAAAAUGUUUAGGGGUGUGCGUACACCUGCAUCCCCCCUCCCAGAAAAAAAGCAGUGGUCACACGUGACUUUUUCUCACUGCUCAAACAAGUUUAGAAGCCAAAUAUUGAAAAAAUACAAGUGACAUUUAAACACCACCAGCAAAAUGCAAUAAACAAAAUGGCUGUGAGAAGCAUCUUUUUAAAAAUUGCAACUGCAAUAAGACACUGUAGUACAGAGUGGUCCUCUUCAUUGCUUCAUGCCCUUCAUGGUGGCUUUUCAUGUUGCUGUCAUAUGGAGAGCAUGUGUUGAACCUUGAGUUGGAUGCAGAAGGAACUAGGGCAGAACAAAUCUGGAAGAUGUGCAGCAGCAUUCUGUGCCAGCUGUAAUGCCCAAGUUGUCUUCAACAGCUGCCCUACAAGAAGCAUGUUGCAGUAUUUAAGCCGGCAAGUUACAGACCCAUGGGAAUUCAAGAGAUACCACAUCUUUAUUCCUUCGGAAGAUGUCUGGCAUCCAAAAACCGAUGAUAGCAGCAACAAAAUUAUCGAAGCAGAACUGAUGUAAACAGUGCCUUUGAAGUGGAUCAAAGCCUUACAGCAAGUAUUUUCAGAACAAUGGUUCCUGAAAAUAAAAGAUCAUUAGCUGUCA